CUGCCUGCAAAGGAAAAACAAGGAAAUAGCUACUCAUCAAUCAAACUACAAGACAGAGAUGGCAGAGUCAUUAUUCCUUGGGGAAGCAGGUUCAGAAAUAGGCAAGCCUUCAACUGUCUGCAUCCACCUUUGAGUCCAGACGGCUUGUCUUGUUUGUACAGCGGAGAUGCAAAUUUCUCCAGCACAUUGUCUGUUCUGCCAAGGGGGCCCAGAUCUUCAUGCUAACCUCAUGGACGGGUCAGCACAGUGAUCCUCACAGCAAAGUGUAGACUACGACAAUCAGGUUCGGUUCACAGACACAUACAGAACCUUCCAGAAAGCCCGGAGAGCCCUCGGCGCAGCAGCCUGUCUGACCCGAGCCGUCCAGCCGUCAGAUGCGUGGGGUAGCAGCCCGGUCCUGCGAGCGUGGCCGGAAUGAGUCGGCAGCCUUCACCUCUGACCGCUCACAGACUAGAGGUUUACUCCUCUGGACCAGCGUGGAAGGACAUUUCCAGGAACUUUUUCCACUAGGGUACAGGUGGAAACUGCAUGCUUAUAAAACCAAGAACAAGAAGCCCCUUUUUGCCCAAAGGAUUGUGGGAGUGCGGAACAAGACCCUCAGCCGUGCUGCUGGAGCAGAUAUCCCGGCUUCUUUCAGGACACAGCUAGAUCCUGGGAUCAAUGAACUACUGACGGCCCAUCAGGCCAGACGGGCGAAUUGGCCUCUUCUCGUUUGUUACCUUUCCUACGCUCUAAGUUUGGAAGGCACAAGUUCCCUUCCUCAAGCAGCUCCAGCUGUGCUUUGCCACUCAACAAGAGAAGCCAUGUGUGGGACCAAGGGUGCCCACAAACUUGCCUGGACUUGGCUCAAUCCCCAGCAUCAAUCGGCGCAAUCUAGCGGUUAUUGAUUAAUUCCGCCUGCCACGUUGCCGAUUCCGUUUUCUACAGAUUUGUAACAAGCGCGGAGUUCCAGUUAACUCUUCGGUCUGCAGUGCGCGCUUUGAUUUAGCAUUAGUGGGGAAGAGUUAUUGCAAAUGCAGAUAAUCUGCUGGGCCAGGAGGUGCUUCCAUAACUCAUCUGGAGAACGUCUAGUUAGUCAAUCACUCGAUCUGUAAUCACAAACGCUGCCAGAAAUCGCAUGAAUGAUGAGCUGUAAUAAAACCAGUUACUUUUGUAUUCUUUCUUUUAACUGUUAUUGGCAGAGUUCUUUCUCCAGGGAGAUGGUUGCAGUGAAACACAAUGCUGAUAUGAAAGCAGCUCAUUGGAUCUAUGCAUACAGUAUAUUAGCAGAUACUGGAGACAGAUUAUCUUGAUUAUGGGUAUUACUGUUAUAUUGAAAUGGCUUACAGCUGCCAUUCAAAAAGUACCAUAACAUGUUUAAAGUCAGCUUAAUUACUCUCCUUAAAAAUUAUAACACAUGGUCGUAUUAUUUUAACUCGGCCGUUACAUGUUUAAUAUGAAACAAAUAUAUCUUUACAGAGCAAGGGAAGGCUUCUUUUACAGCUGCGUCAAGGGUGGAAGUGAGAAAUAUGGUUCAGCUGUAAAAACAAAUUUCGCCUUCGGCUUUUCUCUUCUCCCUUAAAAAGAUGGCGGUGAGGAAAAUGGCCUCACUCUUUGCCUCUUUGCACGAUGCACAUGGCCUGCUUGCUGCUGUUGCACUUGAAUCACAUAACGGGUUUCCAUGCAAAAUUGCAGCUGCGAAAAAUGUGUUUCAUUGCACACUCAUAGAACCAUUUAAACUCUUUGGCAUAGUUACUUUUUUUCCUUUCUUUUUUAGCAAUAUUGAGGCAAGAGAAACACUCAGUGGAGACACCUGGAAACAUUUCUUUACACAGAGGGUUGCAGUUUAGAACAACCUACCCUGCCACACUGUUGAGGAUGAUUUGAGGGAUCCUUCAAGGACCAGAUCCUCGAUUCAGUAACCAAAUAAGCAAAGUGGAUGGAACGCCCUCCUUCGUUCUAAAAACCUUGACGAUCUUGGAUGACGAGACAUUAAAAUCCAGGUUUGAGAAGCACAUGCAGUACACGAUGGGUGUUUCUCGUGCAUCGAUAGUGAAUGAGUCUCUCAGAAAGACCCUAUAUUUUAACAAGAUGAAACUCUUUUAUUUCAUUCCUCCUGUCUUGUAUUAAGAUCCAACACAUUUCAUUUCAGGAGCUCAAAACGUCCAUUAUCAAAAACAGACUAUUAUUAGUAGUAGCAGUAGUGGUAUUAAGGGCCAGAUCAAUAUCCUUCCUGAAAAAUAAGGCAUUGCAUGAUUAAAUUUAUAUCAGACAGGAUCAACUAAGAACCAAGUGUCUGAAUGCCAACAAUUCCUGAAUAAUGUGCUGGCUAAGAAAAAAUUUUAAAAAAAUAGUUUUUAACAUUCGAAUCAUUUGUAAGGUUCGAGCAUGACAGCUUUAUUGAUACAAGUGGCUGUAAUCAUUACAUGAUGGCCAACUUACACUAUUGAUCAGUGUAUUGAUAAAAUCAUACUUCAGAGCAAAGGUUUGUGGAUCUGACAUGCACAUGUAAUGGCAUGACUGUUUUACUGCUGCACUAGAUAAAUGCUGCCUUUUGAAUUGUGGUGAAAUAUCACCCAAAAUAUAAAUAAACAGAGACAUGCAGAUACUGUAUAUACAUUCCUAAAAACCUGAUUAUUGAUCUGUCAGCCGGUGAGAAAAAUGUGUUGAUCUACACAAAGAUGUUUCCAGUGAAACAGAGCAUAGAAACAUAUUUAAAGAACAGGGGAUUUUUCUCAGCCCCAAGGACACCUCUCCUGUCCCUUAUAAUAAAA
rnacentral:lncRNA from 1 species